ACAUGUAAAAAGGUAACAAGCAAAUGACUACAUUUUAGAUUUUUAUUUAAAUAGCAAUAUUUGAAUGUACAAAACUGUAUCUAUUUUUACAGCAAUUGUUUUAUAGUUUACCAUGAGUAAGUGCUCACAUCCAACUGACAAUAAUUCUACAACCAAGAAUCUCCAGAGGCAAUACAUACAUCUUACUUUCAGUUCCUAAACUAAACUGAGGACUCAUCAUUACACCCUGAGCUCAGAGGAAGUGGCUUUUAACACUGUUUUUAGAUUAGUAUGAAACAAGACCUCAUUGUCGCUGCUGAAUGAUGCUGGUUAGUACUACUGAGUCUACUAAGGCUAAGGUUUACUUUGAGAAGAUAUGACAGAAGAGGAGACAUGUGACACUUUUGGCAAAUGGUUUCGCUACUUCUUGUUCAGUGUCUGGGUCAUCGACAUGGUCCUGAUAUUUUUGGUUUAUCACUUAGAAACUAAUUUGAGAGUAAAAAUAAGAAACUGCCAAAACGAGGGAUGCCAAGAAGAAGACUAUGUCAACAACGAAGCAAGUGGCUUUACAUGCGAACAAGCCAGCUGAAGCAGUACUUGAACAAUUCAAAUUGCUCUUAUAAUAACUGACACGUUGUAAUGGACUGUCUUAAUAUGUACUGUAUCUUACAAUAAUGUAUCUUAGUAUGUAGUCUGCAGUAGGCUUGACAAUGUGUUGCUCAGCUUUUCUGAUAAAAAUACAUUAUACUGUAAAAUAAUGCUUUGUUUUAAAGUUAUACUGAAAAGAUAAUAUGCUUGUCUAAUACCAUUACAAAAAAUUCUGAUAAGUUUCAGGUGGGUCAGAACAUUAUCCUCUUAAAUAACCCCUUAAAUAUGUGAGAAGACUCAAUAUGCUAUAUUUUUGUUGAAUUUUGUGUUGAGACAUGAAGGAAAUUUUUUCAUUUUUAAAACAUUUAUUUUUCUUGCAGUCUGAACAUUUGUAUGCUUUUGAGUAGUAAAUGUCCAAAAUUUGUUAGUGUUGCAAUAAUGGAAGCAUAUGGACAAGUGACUAGACAUCAGUAUUAAUAUAAAAAUAACCUUAACAUCCCACAACAUGAGUAACAAGCUGAAGUAAUAAAAAAAUAAGUUUGCUUUGCCACUAACAGAGGAGUUUUAGUUUAGGAGAGAGGAUUUCUAGCACACGUCAGUUUUUUGUUUUGUUUUUGUUUUUGUUUGUUUUUUCAUAAAGAGCAGUGGUUGUCAGUAUAUAAUGCAUACUUUUGUCUUUAAAUUCAAUAUUUAAUGCAACAUUUGUUUCAUUAGUUUCGUAUUUAAACAGGAAAAAGAAAAGAUUCUUCACAUACUACUUUAAUACCAGCACAGGGUAAGCGAGUCUGAAAUGGAGGGGAUGGUAAUCUCCUGGGAGGAAAAAAUGUCCUUUAUUUGUCUUUUAGUUUCUCAUAAGUAAUUCAUCCUGUAGUGAACAAGCCAAAGUACACAGGGUCAAGCCUGCUGCAGCUGCUGCCAGGAGACACACACAUUCCAAAGGGCAACAACAUGCAUGACAAGAUGCUUCAGUUCACAUCCACACCAAAGUAAAUGUACAAGAAGACAGUGUAUAUUCACCAGACACAAAUGUUGUGUGGCAACCUUGAAUGUCUCUGUAAUCACUGUUGAAAGACCAAUGGUUUCAGAGGCUUGCAAUCAACACCAAGGUGGUUUCCAGAGCACUUCGACUAAACAUACAAGAUGUCACGAAUCAUUCAUCCUAGUGUAUCAUGCAAUGUCUGUGUUACAUUUUUAGUGAUCAUUAACAAUGCCAAUUGAUGCUUUUCAGGUAUUUUAUUAAAUAUUCAUAAAUUAGCUUUUUAUAAAUGCUAUAUCUUUUUUUUUUUUUUUACUUAAAACAUACAACAAAAAAGUUAAAAAUCCCAACUUUUUAUUUAUCUUUUUGUCUUUACUUGCCCUUGAAACAUGUUAUUAUGAUUACUGUUGGCUCUUGUAUGAUAUACUGCUUUUGAUACUGUAAUCAAAUUGCUUCCUUGUUUCUAUUUUGGUUUCU